CAGUAGCCGCGGUAAUACGAAGGGGGCUAGCGUUGUUCGGAUUUACUGGGCGUAAAGCGCACGUAGGCGGACUUUUAAGUCAGGGGUGAAAUCCCGGGGCUCAACCCCGGAACUGCCUUUGAUACUGGAAGUCUUGAGUAUGGUAGAGGUGAGUGGAAUUCCGAGUGUAGAGGUGAAAUUCGUAGAUAUUCGGAGGAACACCAGUGGCGAAGGCGGCUCACUGGACCAUUACUGACGCUGAGGUGCGAAAGCGUGGGGAGCAACCAGGAUUAGAGACCCCUGUAGUCCCUGUCUCUUAUAC
rnacentral:rRNA from 1 species